AUUAAUUUUGUUAUGUAUGUGUUUGAUAUUUUGCAGACUCUGAAUUCGAGUAUCUUGGGUUUUGAAAGCCUUUGUAUGCUAAAUUUCAUCUUUAAAGACAACACAAUGAGGGGCCACAUCUAAUGAUUCAUUUGUGUACCUGCAUUGGGGGUUCAACCUCAACUAUUAGUUCAA